rnacentral:rRNA from 1 species
UACCAGCACCCCGAGUGGUCGGGACGAUUAUUGGGCUUAAAGCAUCCGUAGCCGGCCUUACAAGUCCUCCGUUAAAUCCAGCUGCUUAACAGAUGGGCUGCGGAGGAUACUAUAAGACUAGGAGGCAGGAGAGGCAAGCGGUACUCAGUGGGUAGGGGUAAAAUCCGUUGAUCCAUUGAAGACCACCAGUGGCGAAGGCGGCUUGCCAGAAUGCGCUCGACGGUGAGGGAUGAAAGCUGGGGGAGCAAACCGG